rnacentral:rRNA from 1 species
UGGGGAAUUUUGGACAAUGGGCGAAAGCCUGAUCCAGCCAUGCCGCGUGAGUGAAGAAGGCCUUCGGGUUGUAAAGCUCUUUCAGUCGGAAAGAAAGAGUUGCAAUGAAUAAUUGUGAUUUAUGACGGUACCGACAGAAAAAGCACCGGCUAACUACGUGCCAGCAGCCGCGGUAAUACGUAGGGUGCGAGCGUUAAUCGGAAUUACUGGGCGUAAAGGGUGCGCAGGCGGUCUUGCAAGUCAGAUGUGAAAGCCCCGGGCUUAACCUGGGAAUUGCGUUUGAAACUACAAGGCUAGAGUGCAGCGGAGGGGAGUGGAAUUCCAUGUGUAGCAGUGAAAUGCGUAGAGAUGUGGAAGAACACCGAUGGCGAAGGCAGCUCCCUGGAUUGACACUGACGCUCAUGCACGAAAGCGUGGGGAGCAAACA